rnacentral:rRNA from 1 species
UGACGAGUGGCGGACGGGUGAGUAAUGUCUGGGAAACUGCCUGAUGGAGGGGGAUAACUACUGGAAACGGUGGCUAAUACCGCAUAACGUCGCAAGACCAAAGAGGGGGACCUUCGGGCCUCUUGCCAUCAGAUGUGCCCAGAUGGGAUUAGCUAGUUGGUGAGGUAACGGCUCACCAAGGCGACGAUCCCUAGCUGGUCUGAGAGGAUGACCAGCCACACUGGAACUGAGACACGGUCCAGACUCCUACGGGAGGCAGCAGUGGGGAAUAUUGCACAAUGGGCGCAAGCCUGAUGCAGCCAUGCCGCGUGUAUGAAGAAGGCCUUCGGGUUGUAAAGUACUUUCAGCGGGGAGGAAGGUGUUG